rnacentral:rRNA from 1 species
UACGAAGGUCCCGAGCGUUGUUCGGAUUUACUGGGCGUAAAGCGUCUGUAGGCGGCGCGGCAAGUCAGAUGUGAAAGCCCGGGGCUCAACCCCGGAAAUGCAUCCGAUACUGCCGUGCUUGAGGGUCGGAGGGGAGUCUGGAAUUCACGGUGUAGCAGUGAAAUGCGUAGAUAUCGUGAGGAACACUAGUGGCGAAGGCGAGACUCUGGACGACACCUGACGCUGAGAGACGAAGGCCAGGGUAGCGAAAAGG